UUGAACUAAGAAUAUAAGGGUAGAGCUUUAUAUUCAAUAAUUAAUUAAAGAUGAGUAAAUAAAAAUUAUUUAUAAAUUAGGUUUUAUAGUGGCCAUAUUUUUAAAGUAUUUUAACUAUUAAAAUAAAAAAUUUUUUAUUAUAUAUUCUCUUGAAAAAACUAGUAGAAUAAAUUUUAUAUUAAAAAUAGAUUAGAGAUAAUGAAAAUAUUAGUAGAAAUAUAAUUAUUAAAAUUUUAAAAUAAUNNAUUNANUNNANAAUUUUUAAUAAUAAAAAUAAAGGAAAUUAAAGGAAUUCGGCAAAUUUUUUUCUUGCCUGUUUAACAAAAACAUGUCUGUAUGAAGUUAUAUAGAGUCUGGCCUGCCCGUUGAAGUAAUUUGAAAGGCCGCGGUAUAUUAACUGUGCCNGGGUAGCAUAA
rnacentral:rRNA from 1 species